AGUGUAGCACGCCUUUUGUUUUGGUCAUAACCCAUCCUAUUUCUUUCAUGUACUCAUGAAGUAACAUGAUUAGCUUCUCCUCUUUCAGGUGAGGUGUGCCUCUAGCCCUUAUGUUUGCAUUUUUGAGAUGAUUGGGCAGCACUUCGAACUCCAAUUCAUAUUUCUCCAUAGGUGGCUGCAAUUUGGUACUGAAUUUGGGCAAAACAAAUUCUACCUUAUCCGGUGGUUUGGGCAGGCAGUGUUCUGCAUGCUCCUUUGGUUUGGGC
rnacentral:lncRNA from 1 species